AUUGAACGCUGGCGGCAGGCCUAACACAUGCAAGUCGAGCGGUAGAGAGAAGCUUGCUUCUCUUGAGAGCGGCGGACGGGUGAGUAAUGCCUAGGAAUCUGCCUGGUAGUGGGGGAUAACGUUCGGAAACGGACGCUAAUACCGCAUACGUCCUACGGGAGAAAGCAGGGGACCUUCGGGCCUUGCGCUAUCAGAUGAGCCUAGGUCGGAUUAGCUAGUUGGUGAGGUAAUGGCUCACCAAGGCGACGAUCCGUAACUGGUCUGAGAGGAUGAUCAGUCACACUGGAACUGAGACACGGUCCAGACUCCUACGGGAGGCAGCAGUGGGGAAUAUUGGACAAUGGGCGAAAGCCUGAUCCAGCCAUGCCGCGUGUGUGAAGAAGGUCUUCGGAUUGUAAAGCACUUUAAGUUGGGAGGAAGGGCAGUUACCUAAUACGUGAUUGUUUUGACGUUACCGACAGAAUAAGCACCGGCUAACUCUGU
rnacentral:rRNA from 1 species